rnacentral:tRNA from 1 species
GCCCGGGUGGCGUAAUGGUAGCCGCGCAACACUUAAGAUGUUGUGAACGUAAGUUCGUGUCGGUUCGAGUCCGACCCCGGGCACCA